UUGUAUACUAAACUGUCCAGGGUGUUCCCAACCAAUACAGCAGGUGAGUAUGCUCUAUUAUCUCUGUGAUAAUCAGGUAUAAGAAAUAGACAGAUUAAUUUAAUUUAAACACAGGGGUGGAGCUAUGGGGGGGAGAGGGCACCAGCUACCCCCUCAAGUCAAAAUCUUUAAGUCAAUAUUAGUAUUAUUAUUGACAAAGAUUAAGACAUCAUUAAUGCAAGCUUUAGAAGCAUUAGAUAAGGCUCCUCAAAGAGUUUUUGCGGCCCUCAAUAGAUCACGACCAGCUGUACAUUGCUUGGAAAAAAUAUUUUUUUGUUUUGUUGUUUCUGGCGACAUCUGCAGGGAAAGAAGGUCAUUACACCCAGCUGUCAAUGGUACAGUGUAUUCAUUUCACCACUAGAGGGCAGACAACAUUUUCUAUGUUACUGCUUCUGCGGAGAAAGGAAGGAUGCUUACAAUAUAGGUUGUGUCUGAAUUUCGUCCCUAACCCCUAAAAGAGUGUCGGACUAUAUAGUGCUCGGGAUUUUAAAGAGAGGAGAGGAUCGACUGCAGUAGCUUUGACAAGGAGGCCCUCUACAGGUGAUGACGUCCCUCUGGUGAUUUAAGGAGAAAAAAGGCUCCUCAGUUUCUUUUUGUUCUCGGACCAGCAAUGGACACGUCUCAGGAUUUCCUAAUGGUGGAUUUUCAUCCAAAAAAACCUUCAGGAGUACCAUAUUAUAUGGAAUUUUCUUCAUUCCAUUCCUGAACCUUGUCGUCAUUCUCAUCUGGAGAAACCAGGAAGUACACCUCUGCCUCCUUUCAACCAUCAAGGAGCCAAACAUCCCUGCUCUGCACCGACUGUAAACGGCUGCCAGUAGAAGCAGACGGAGGAGGGUGCACUAAAGACUUCUUGAAGAGUGCUUGGGAUAAAUAUUCAUAUUUCUAUGCACCCACGAUGCUGGAAAAGCACCAUCUGGGACAGGCCAUAGAUUUGCAUUACAAUAUAAAUGGGAAGCUGCUGGAGCUGAAAGGGUGAUGUGAAGUCACUCAGCCAGCCCCCUCGCACUGACAGGUCGCAUCUCCCUCCCCGCGCUAGGCAGCAGGCAUUGCACUUUGUUGGUGCUCGGUAGGAUGGCGCAUUUCCCCCCACUUACUUUUUCAAACGAUCAAGCUGGAUUUUUCUUUUUUUUUUUUUUUUUUUUUGGCAUAUCUCCGUGCACAUAAACGCAGGUUCAGCACCAGCAUCUCUUUCAGAUGUGAUCUUCUGUUAACCCCCAGAGCUCUUUUUUUGCGGAAGAGUAGAUGCCCCAGAGACAUAAAAACAAGCGAAAGGUAGUGGUAAUGGCAAAUACUUUGGGUGCCUAUUAAAAUUUGUUCUACAACAUGCUUAUCUUGUGAUACUUUUAAGAAACCUACUUUUGAAAAUAGAACCGCCGCUGGAGCGAAGCGGCAGCAGUAACAAAUCCUGCCACGCGGUUAAAGGACUUGGGGUUUGCUGCAGCCUGAAUCCUGCAACUUAUUUAAAACAACAACCACAAAAAAACCUUUUUGGACGACAAAACCCUUCACAGUUUGGCAAUACACACUUUAAGUCUCCCAUGACUAUUUUUUUUUUUAUUAAAAAAAAAAAAAAAAAAAAAUCGUUGCCAGUGGUGUUUUAAUUUUGAUUAUGAAGUUUUUAACCAAAAUCUCACAAUCUAAAUGUCUUAAAAA